UACAUAGGGUGCAAGCGUUGUCCGGAAUUAUUGGGCGUAAAGAGCUCGUAGGUGGUUUGAUACGUCGGGUGUGAAAUUCAGGGGCUCAACCCCCUGACCUGCAUUCGAUACGGUCAAGCUAAGAGUUUGGUAGGGGGAGACGUGGAAUUCCUGGUGUAGCGGUGGAAUGCGCCAGAUAUCAGGAGGAACACCGAUGGCGAAGGCAGGUCUCUGGGCCAAUACUGACACUGAGGAGCGAAAAGCGUGGGGAGCGAACAGG
rnacentral:rRNA from 1 species